rnacentral:rRNA from 1 species
GAUGAACGCUGGCGGCGUGCCUAAUACAUGCAAGUCGAGCGAACAGACGAGGAGCUUGCUCCUCUGACGUUAGCGGCGGACGGGUGAGUAACACGUGGAUAACCUACCUAUAAGACUGGGAUAACUUCGGGAAACCGGAGCUAAUACCGGAUAAUAUAUUGAACCGCAUGGUUCAAUAGUGAAAGACGGUUUUGCUGUCACUUAUAGAUGGAUCCGCGCCGCAUUAGCUAGUUGGUAAGGUAACGGCUUACCAAGGCAACGAUGCGUAGCCGACCUGAGAGGGUGAUCAGCCACACGAGAACUGAGACACGGUCCAGACUCCUACGGGAGGCAGCAGUAGGGAAUCUUCCGCAAUGGGCGAAAGCCUGACGGAGCACCGCCGGGUGAGGGAUGAAGGUCUUCGGAUCGUAAAACGCUGUUAUUAGGGAAGAACAAAUGUGUAAGUAACUAUGCACGUCUUGACGGUACCUAAUCAGAAAGCAACGGCUAACUACGUG